GAUGAACGCUGGUGGCAUGCUUAACACAUGCAAGUCGUACGGUAAAACAACUAGUUUUUUUAUAAAACUAGUUGUUUUAUAGUGGCGGACGGGUGAGUAACGCGUAAGAACCUGCCCUUAGGAGGGGGAUAACAACUGGAAACGGUUGCUAAUACCCCAUAUGCUGAGGAGUAAAACGGUAACAACCGCCUAAGAAUGGGCUUGCGUCUGAUUAGCUUGUUGGUAAGGUAAAAGCUUACCAAGGCGACGAUCAGUAGUUGGUUUGAGAGGACGAUCAGCCACACUGGGACUGAGACACGGCCCAGACUUCUACGGAAGGCAGCAGUGAGGAAUUUUCCGCAAUGGGCGAAAGCCUGACGGAGCAAUGUCGCGUGGAGGAAGAAGGCUCGUGGGUUGUAAACUCCUUUUGUCGAAGAAGAAUAAAUGACGGUAUUUGACGAAUAAGCAUCGGCUAAUUCUGUGCCAGCCGCCGCAGUAAAAC
rnacentral:rRNA from 1 species